ACCUUUAAAAGCUGGUCAUGGCUGACCCUGUGUGUUCACUAUCUACACUACAGGACACUGAGAUGUGUUAAGUGGUAUAUUUUAAAACCCAUGCUUUUCCCCUAGUGUCUGGUAGACACAUGACUGAAAUGCUGAGUUCCUGUUUACUUACCACGUUGUACAACUAUUUUCUUGUUUAGCAAACAGUCACACGGACCCUGGUGCAUUCAGUGAUGGCCUCAGUGCUGGGAUCGUUGCAAAUUGGUUACCACACAGGAAACAUCAAUGCCCCACAGAUGGUAAAUGACCAGGAGAAGGAAAUGUGGCGUGGAGCUUGGAGAAUGGGACGCGCAGUGCUGAGGAGCAUAGAGGGACUGACUCCUGCAACUAAACGAUAGGAAAACCAUACAUUAGGCCUCAUCUCAGGCCCACCUUGUGAAAGAUGGGCGCUAGCACACUCUGAAAAGCAGGAGAGAGUUCACUCAAUUUCUUGCAUUAUAAUAAAACAGUUAUUUAAUGUUCACCAUUGCAGGAAAGGACGUAGGUCUGCUCUGAGCAGAGCGCCUCCACAGAACUUCUCAUUUAACAGGACAUUCUCUCUGUAGUACUUCUCUGGCCCCCAUUACCAUAUUUAUCUGAGCGCCUCACAGUCUUUAAUGUCUUUAUCCUCACCACCCCCCUGUGAGGCAGAGCAGUGCUAUUAUCUCCAUUUUACAAAUGGUGGCCUGAGGCAAAGGGAGACGAAGGGACUUGACCAAGGUCACAGAGGAAAACCAGGGACAUGAACAUAGGUCUUUAAAAUCCCAGCUUAGUGUCCUAAUUCUUGGACAAUCCUUCCUCUUCAUUACAUGAUAUUUUCUACACUGACGGUGAACUUAGGCCAGCAGCUUUAAAAAGCACAGUAUUAAUUUAUCUUAACAGUGUUAUCUAGAACAGUCCAGCCCACCCCCACCAACCAGGACAAGGUGGUUCCCUACAGUUGUUCUCCAGGGCUUUGUCCAGUCCUUGUUUUAACUAUCCCAAGCAAUGGGGCUUCCACCUCUUCCCUUGGGGAGACUCUAGUCUCACAAACGCCUCACUGUUAGGAAAUGUUUCCUGAUGAUCCAGUCUGAAAUCUUCACACUUGGCUCAGUUUCAUCCUGUUUGCUUCCUUUGCUUCACCCAUCCCUGAACAAUUUCUCUGCCUCCUUGGUGUCAACACUUUUCAGUCACUGAAAGCUGAGGUGGAGUAAAAAGGGGGCUGAUGUGGAGGAAGCUGGGGAAUGAGGGGGUGAAGGCUGAAGGGAAUUGAAGGAAGAUGGAAGGAAAUGGAGGAGGCUGAAGACUGUGGAGAUGGUGAGGAGUAAGAAGGUGAUAGAGGAGUUCUUCAACCAGACCUGGAAGGAGCGGUUCAAGGAUCCAAUGUCUCUCCAUGCACUCACCAUGUUUUGGUCCUUCACCGUCAGCACAUUGGCUUUGGGGGGCCACUGUCUCAGCACUCACUGUGGGCAUAGUGGCUGAUCAUUAUGGAAGAUGCAAUUCCAUCCUGACUGCUAACUCCCUCUCUCUCAUGGCCGUGGCGUUCAUGGGCAUCUCCAAGAUUGCAGGCUCCCUGGAGGCACUGAUUGUGGGGUGCUUCCUCACUGGACUCUUCUGUGGACUCAACAUGACCCUGAUUCCCCUUUAUAUCCAGGAGAUAUCCCCAACCAGGCUCCAUGGGGCCUUCUCCACCAUGAACCAGCUGUCUCAGACAGUGGGCAUCUUCAUUGGGCAGGUAAAGAGCUGGCCCUGGGCAAGGAUUACAAUUAUAAUUUCCACCUAGAAUUUCACAGCAAAACUCAGAUCCUUCUGCAACAGAG